rnacentral:rRNA from 1 species
AGCGAACGCUGGCGGCAGGCCUAACACAUGCAAAUCGAACGAAGUCUUCGGACUUAGUGGCGGACGGGUGAGUAACACGUGGGAACGUGCCUUUAGGUUCGGAAUAACUCAGGGAAACUUGUGCUAAUACCGAAUGUGCCCUUCGGGGGAAAGAUUUAUCGCCUUUAUAGCGGCCCGCGUCUGAUUAGCUAGUUGGUGAGGUAAAGGCUAACCAAGGCGACGAUCAGUAGCUGGUAUGAGAGGAUGAUCAGCCACAUUGGGACUGAGACACGGCCCAAACUACUACGCGAGGCAGCAGUGGGGAAUCUUGCGCAAUGGGCGAAAGCCUGACGCAGCCAUGCCGCGUGAAUGAUGAAGGUCUUAGGAUUGUAAAAUUCUUUCACCGGGGACGAUAAUGACGGGACCCGGGGAAGAAGCCCCGGCUAACUUCGUGCCAGCCGCCGCGGUAA